GUCGGACGGCAGCAAGGCCUUCGGGCGCUGGCGAGUGGCGGACGGGUGAGUAAUGCAUAGGAAUCUGCCUGGUAGUGGGGGACAACUUAGGGAAACUUAAGCUAAUACCGCAUACGCCCUUAAGGGGAAAGCGGGGGACCGCAAGGCCUCGCGCUAUCAGAUGAGCCUAUGUUGGAUUAGCUGGUUGGUGGGGUAAAGGCCCACCAAGGCGACGAUCCAUAGCUGGUCUGAGAGGAUGAUCAGCCACACUGGGACUGAGACACGGCCCAGACUCCUACGGGAGGCAGCAGUGGGGAAUAUUGGACAAUGGGCGCAAGCCUGAUCCAGCAAUACCGCGUGUGUGAAGAAGGCCCGAGGGUUGUAAAGCACUUUCAAUGGGGAGGAAAAAGAUGGGGCCAAUACCUUCAUAAUUGACAUUACCCAUACAAGAAGCACCGGCUAACUCCGUGCCAGCAGCCGCGGUAAUACGGAGGGUGCGAGCGUUAAUCGGAAUUACUGGGCGUAAAGCGUGCGUAGGCGGCCUGCCAAGCCAGGUGUGAAAGCCCCGGGCUCAACCUGGGAACGGCACUUGGAACUGGCAAGCUAGAGUUAGGUAGAGGGGAGUGGAAUUCCGGGUGUAGCGGUGAAAUGCGUAGAUAUCCGGAGGAACACCAGUGGCGAAGGCGGCUCCCUGGACCCAAACUGACGCUGAGGUACGAAA
rnacentral:rRNA from 1 species